rnacentral:lncRNA from 1 species
UCGAGAAACCCUCAGACAAAGUGUUGUUCUUUUUCUCUCAUGCCGCCGCUUCUCUCCCUAAAGAUUCCAAACGAUGAACCUCUGCCUCAACCUUUCCUUUUCCGAUCUACCGUUACUCUGAUGAAUUCAAAUCUUCAUCUGAAUAGCCAUUUCCGUAAGCGUCUUCUCCUUCGAUUCCUUUUCAACUCACAACGAGCUUGAGAAACUCUCCGUCUUCCUUGUAAAUCUUCAAGACUAACCACUUCCUCUUCUGUGAUUCAUGUUCCCUCAUGACGAUUUACGACGUCACCAGUUAAAGAACCCUUUGCAUGUAACUCACAGGUAACGUCUCCUUCCAAGAUUUGACUCUAUCACGUCAGUAACAGUUCUGACUCAAAUCUUCUUUCUUAUUUCAUAACUUCUACCUUGACGACUUACUACUUCGGAGUACCAGCUGAAUAAGAAACUGUCCUCCUCUGCAAACUGAUUCGCCCUUUCAGAUGCUCCACCUGAAGCCUCACUUUCGUGAUAGCUUCAACUCUCUCAGGUAACUCCAUCUUUAGUUUUCUUUCUGAGUAUACUUGCAUCUUUAUGAAGUCUUGAUAGUAUCAGCUUAGUCUUCUGACACUGACUUCAUCCCCUCUUUUACUUUUGCGAGAUGCAAUCUGGAGUUACCCGGAGCCACAGUCGCACUCAGGCGACAUUCAGACCUUCACGGCAGAGCUGGAACUUAGAACCAUGUAUCGUUUUGGUCAAGAAAUCCGCUAGGUUGAUAGACGUAUGAAUCUUAGAUAGAGUAACCCAUCCUUUAGCUACUAUAUCUCUGAUGAAAUGAAACUCUGUGUCCAUAUGCUUUGUUCUUUCAUGAUGAACUGUGUUUUUGGAUAAUGCAAUUGCACUUUGAGAGUCGCAGUGUAUCCUUACACUGCUUUGCUCAAAUCUCAUUUAUGUGCAAAUCCCUCUUAACCAAAUAUCUUCUUUCACAGCCAGAGUCAGAGCCAUGUACCUGACUUCUGUGGUUGAAAGAGCUACAACUGACUGUAGUCCGGAUUUCCAUGACAUAGUAUUUCCACCAAGCUUGAAAACAAUCCUGAAACUGAUCUUCGUUUUUCCAAAUCUGUAGAAUAAUCAGAAUCUAAAGACCCUUCAAC